AGCAGCCGCGGUAAUUCCAGCUCCAAUAGCGUAUAUUAAAGUUGUUGCAGUUAAAAAGCUCGUAGUUGAAUUUCGGGAUUGACGUGAUGGUCGUGCCUUACGGGGUAUGAACUGUUGCAGUCAAUUUCUCACCUUCUGGAGAAAUAUGAUGUCCUUAAUUGGGUGUCAUAUGGAACCAGAACUUUUACCUUGAAAAAAUUAGAGUGUUUAAAGCAGGCUUAUUGCUCGAAUACAUUAGCAUGGAAUAAUAAAAUAGGACGGCAUGGUUCUAUUUUGUUGGUUUCUAGGAUCACCGUAAUGAUUAAUAGGGAUAGUUGGGGGCAUUAGUAUUCAAUUGUCAGAGGUGAAAUUCUUGGAUUUAUUGAAGACUAACUACUGCGAAAGCAUUUGCCAAGGAUGUUUUCAUUAAUCAAGAACGAAAGUUAGGGGAUCGAAGACAAUCAGAUACCGUCGUAGUCUUAACCAUAAACUAUGCCGACUAGGAAUCAGACGAUGUUAAUUUUUUAAUGACUCGUUUGGC
rnacentral:misc_RNA from 1 species